AUCCAUAACAUGGGUUCCUAUCAAGUGAACUUGAUAUUAAACAUAAAUUGCGCAUUCUAACACCUAGUGUAAUACUGUCCUCUGUCUCUAUACCAACCUUCUAACUGGACUUCUAACUUUCUCUCUAACAUCCUUCAUACUUCUAAAAAUCACUUACCUUUGGUCUGCAAAGGGGUUAUGAUGCUAUUUAAUGAGCUGAACUGGUUUUUAUGGGCCUAGGUAUGCAGUGUCUAUAUAAGGUAGCUUUUUGGAGGAGGAUAAACCACAUGGAGGAUAAACGCAUGGAAAGAAGAUUCAUGUCUUAGUUUCAGUUUUAACCCAACCUUGAAUUUUAAAUGUACCUGCAUCUAAAUCUUCCAUUGCUAUGCUAGACGAUUACAUAGAUAUUUUCAAAGUUCCCUGGAAAAGCUGCCGGCUGAAAUCAUUGGUUUACUACACAAGAAUGCUCCUCUUUUGCCAC